GAGUAAUAUCAGUAAAAGCUGCUCUCAUGCUCCACCGCAGAGGGAGUCGUUGCACCGAGUCAGAUAACACCAACGGCUAUCUGUGCAUUGGCGGUUGAGGACGUGACGGUAAGGGUCUCGACACAUGGACACACUCUCGUACAGCUCUGUGUGGUUGCACUGCGGGCUGUGAUUACGGGCGGGACGUCGUAUCUGAGGUAGUUGGAGUUGCCUUCAAGACACUGUAAAUGAUGAGGAUUUAAACGCUGCAGGUUGAUGUUGAGAGCGCGUUAUUGGAUUCAGUGCAUCACUACACGUAUCUGGGCAGACGGGGAGCGGUGGGACCAGGUUAUCCUCUGAAAGAUAAUUGUGCAAAAGCGGAUUACGACCAUCGACGAAGACCUCAAGAGCGUCAUCACCUGUUCAAAUGGACUAAUGUGACAUUGACGUCCAUGUACGCCUGAUACACGGGCAUACGAGGAAGGGGAACAACAGGUGGUUACAAGAAACAGAACAGUCUUCUAUCCACGAUGUUUUUGCAGUAAAGGCGAGAGCGUUGAGCCAAUCCAUCUUGUGUGUACUCCGAUGUCCUGAGGGCACGGCCAUGGAUUUAGAGGCCGUCAGAGUGUUGGCGUGGCCAGAGUUCCUGGCCAGCCCGGGCCAGCUCCACCACGCCUUCACGAAGGAGAAUGGUCAGCUGACCUAUGAUGGUCAGUUCGUGUUUGACCUCACCACGCCAUUGGCGGCGGAACAGGUGGGAGUGGGAUACCACGUGCAGAAAAACGAAAUAAUUUUGAUCAUCCACAACGAGGCUGAGAUGACGUCACUUCUUGGAGACCUACUAAGGAAGCUUCUGCUCAUGCGCAUCACAGUCCUGCACACGGAGAUCUCCAGUAAAUACAGCAUGGAGACCAUCUCAAUACUGGAAGAUGAGUUUGCCGUAUUGAUCAAUACAAGUCACCCGUCCAUCAAAACGAGGCUUGGUGAUGGGCUCAAGUGCGCGGCACUGCGCAUGUCAAGAUGUAGGAAAUUCUGCCUCGAGCUUGACAUGUCCACCUCUCUACACGACUGGUACGCCGAGCACAAGGAGGCCAUCACGAGCUGUGACGACAUUCACCAGAUGAAAGUGAGGCGCGCGAGACUGUACGUGACGAAUCACACGAUCUACAGCCACUGUUUCGACUGCAAGCCCCACUGGUGGCUGUGUUUGUGUUUCUGCUGGCUACUCUCCGCCCCCUGCUACAUGUCCUACCGGAAGUUGACGUGCACUGACAUCUAUGUUGAAAUACAUGGGGAGAUAACUCCAGCAAAAAGUGUACAAGAUGAAAGUAGCAGAGUAGCAAUAGAUUCUUCACGACGCAGCUACCAGACAGUCUGACGUCGUGUGAAACAGAUGCUAGUUUUUCUACUGUUGAGGUCUGGGAGAAAAAUGGUGCCAAUUUUCCAUCACGAAGCCACAGUGCCCAGACUGGGGACACAUCUUCACCACAACCUGUCUCUGGAACCAUCGCAUCUCCCUAUGGUCAUUGUCCCUGACAGCUAUGUCGCUGAAGAUUACUGGCUGAAUCCUGCUAGGUGAUGUGUUACAUAGAAGAAGACAUAAAUAUUAUUUUUGACACAGAGUGACUACAAGUGUAGAAACAAUUCAUAGAAGGUUAUUCUGUUGGCAAUAUGUGACAUGAGAGCGAGAGGAGACUUGAAACAUUCUCAAGAAAAUGUGACCAAGAGCGAAGCCAUUUCAAUUAUAAGCCGCCAGUGAGAGAAUAUUGUAUCAAAGUGAUCUUCUACUAACAAGAGGGGCGGCGGGUAGCCCAGUGGUUAAAGCGUUAGCUCGCCACGCCGAAGACCCGGGUUCGAUUCCCGACAUGGGUACAAUGUGUGAAGCCCAUUUCUGGUGUCCCCCGCCGUGAUAUUGCUGGAAUAUUGCUAAAAGCGGCGUAAAACCAUACUCACUCACUAACAAGAAAUGUGUGUUCCGUGUAUAUUUCUUGGAGCGACGCUGAACAUAAUCGCCAGUAUUGAGACAGAACAAUCUCACUUUAUAUUUGAAAGUUUUGUUCGAAGCAGCAUGACAAUAGCUUACAUUUGCAGUGUAUAUAAACAUGUUUUCUAUAAUAUUCAUAGUUGAACCUUGAUGUAAUCUGUAGUUAUUUGCAAUUGUUGUUAGUGAUAUGUUAGUAUGUCAUAUGGUCAGGUUAAUGUCACUAUACACAUAAAGUAAAUCACUGCAGAUACUGUGGUCGACUCAUCUGUUACCCUACAGUUCAGAACUAUUCCAGGUCUAUCUACUCACCACCAUAAGAAACGCAAACCAUAGAAACACGUCUCUAAGUGAAGGGUGAGAGAGUUGGGUUAAACGCCGCUUUUAACAGUAUUCCAGUUAUAUCACGGCGUGUCAGCUUAAUGUGGGAGGAAAGCCCGAAGUGAUGCAGGUCUCAGACGUUUACCACUUCGGUGAAA
rnacentral:misc_RNA from 1 species